CCUGACUGCUAUCGGAUUGAUACUAAGCCAUGCGAGUCAUUGUAGCAAUACAAGGCAUACGGCUCAGUAACGCGUAGUCAACCUAACCUAUGGACGGGAAUAACCUCGGGAAACUGAGAAUAAUGCCCGAUAGAACACUAUACCUGGAAUGGUUUGUGUUCCAAAUGAUUUAUCGCCAUAGGAUGGGACUGCGGCCUAUCAGUUUGUUGGUGAGGUAAUGGCCCACCAAGACUAUUACAGGUACGGGCUCUGAGAGGAGUAGCCCGGAGAUGGGUACUGAGACACGGACCCAGGCCCUAUGGGGCGCAGCAGGCGAGAAAACUUUGCAAUGUGCGAAAGCACGACAAGGUUAAUCCGAGUGAUUUGUGCUAAACGAAUCUUUUGUUAGUCCUAGAAACACUAACGAAUAAGGGGUGGGCAAGUUCUGGUGUCAGCCGCCGCGGUAAAACCAGCACCUCAAGUGGUCAGGAUGAUUAUUGGGCCUAAAGCAUCCGUAGCCGGCUCUGUAAGUUUUCGGUUAAAUCUGUACGCUUAACGUACAGGCUGCCGGGAAUACUGCAGAGCUAGGGAGUGGGAGAGGUAGACGGUACUCGGUAGGAAGUGGUAAAAUGCUUUGAUCUAUCGAUGACCACCUGUGGCGAAGGCGGUCUACCAGAACACGUCCGACGGUGAGGGAUGAAAGCUGGGGGAGCAAACCGGAUUAGAUACCCGGGUAGUCCCAGCUGUAAACUAUGCAAACUCAGUGAUGCAUUGGCUUGUGGCCAAUGCAGUGCUGUAGGGAAGCCGUUAAGUUUGCCGCCUGGGAAGUACGUACGCAAGUAUGAAACUUAAAGGAAUUGGCGGGGGAGCACCACAAGGGGUGAAGCCUGCGGUUC
rnacentral:rRNA from 1 species